rnacentral:rRNA from 1 species
CCUANGGGGGGCAGCAGUAAGGAAUAUUGCGCAAUGGGCGAAAGCCUGACGCAGCGACGCCGCGUGGGGGAUGAAGGUCUUCGGAUUGUAAACCCCUUUCGGGAGGGAAGAUGGAACGAGCAAUCGUUCGGACGGUACCUCCAGAAGCAGCCACGGCUAACUUCGUGCCAGCAGCCGCGGUAAUACGAAGGUGGCAAGCGUUGUUCGGAUUUACUGGGCGUACAGGGAGCGUAGGCGGUUCGGUAAGCCCUCUGUGAAAUCUCCAGGCUUAACCUGGAACAGUCGGAGGGGACUGCUGGGCUAGAGGACGGGAGAGGAGCGCGGAAUUCCCGGUGUAGCGGUGAAAUGCGUAGAGAUCGGGAGGAAGGCCGGUGGCGAAGGCGGCGCUCUGGAACGUUUCUGACGCUGAGGCUCGAAAGCGUGGGGAGCAAACAGGAUUAGAUACCCGGNUANUC